rnacentral:lncRNA from 1 species
AGAACUUCCGGCAGCAACUGCAAUUAGGGGUAGUCCAGUGCUAAAUUGUCGCAGCCUUGAAAAUAUUCUGCUUCGUUAUUUCGGGCACUCCACAGAUUCUGUUGCGAAGGCAGCCAUCUUUAGUUCGUCUUUCCUAGAGAGAAUUUUAUACUGAGGAGACAUCUUAUUUUAGUGUGUGAGCUGCAAAGUUGCUUUACAUCUUUGCCAGCAGCUGAUAAGGGUGGGCCAUAAACCCAAUUUGUGUCCCUUGGGCUGGUGAUUCUGCUGGAAAUCCUGAUCAGCUGCUUAGCUUUUCAGCCGCAACUUUGUUGUAAGUAUUUUAGUUUCUCAGUCAUCUUCUUUGAAUCACCAAAAAGCUUGUGGAGAAAACGGUACCAAAGUUGGGUCUCACCACGUGGGCUUCUCUUCUGAGAUUCAGUCUCUUCAAAUGCUUGUUUCUUUGGACUUGUGAUACCUACAAACAAUAUGUUUAAUAUCUUCCAGCUCUCCUAGUUUUUCUCAGCAGAAUGGUUGAGCUAAACUGGCUGCAUUACCAUGGAAGCAGACAUCUCUACAUAUACUGUUUUUUUGGAAUAUGUUUUAGUUUUAAUUGUUUUUCAUUGUAUAGCCAGUUGAUCCUUUUUGUUGUUGCUGUUGUCGUUGUUUUUUGAGAUGGAAUCUUGCUCUGUCACCCAGGGUGGAGUGCAGUGGCACAAUCUCGGCUCACAGCAACCUCCGCCUCCCGGAUUCAAGCAAUUCUCCUACCUCAGCCUCCCAAGUAGCUGGGAUUACAGGCACACGCCACCACGCCCGGCUAACUUUUUUUUUGUAUUUUAGUAAAGACAGGGUUUCACUGUGUUCCCUAGGCUGGUCGCAAACUCCUGAGCUCAGGCAAUCCGCCCGCCUCGGCCUCCCAAAGUGCUGGGAUUACAGGAGUGAGCCACUAUGCCCAGCCAAUCCAUUCUUUAUGUCAAUAAGAUUAAAACAUCUUUUAAGG